GUAACCUAAUCAAUUCUCUCCAAUCAGUUCGACCUUUCCAAAAUUUUGCAACCGUUUCCUUUCUGAACUUUAUUUCUAAUAGAAAACCCUAAAUGAUUUGCAUCAUCUACCAUAAAAAAUUACUCAUUGGAUUUCUCUCUGUCAUUUCGUUAUUUCAAAUGCUUCCUCAAUCGGUAAUUGUUUUGAGAAGAAUCCAUCAUAUAUUCUAGAUAAUCUUCUCUUUCUCCGAUUGUUUGGUGUGGAUUUCUCCCAAUUAGAGGUUUAAGGAUAUUCAAGAUAGUUCUUGAUUGGCCCUGCUCUCGGUUUCCCUGUAGUAAUUAUUGUGUUUCCUCCGACUAUUCAAUCACGAGAUUUGUGUUUCAGCCAUCUCACAUAUUUCUUAUAGAUAUUUAACACGUCUCAUUCGAUCUCCACGAUGCUUCGUUUCUGACGGAAUCGGCUAUGUUUUGCCCAUAACUUAGAAGAACAAUUCGAAAAUGUAGUCCUCCGAGUAAAUGGUACUUGAUGUUAGUAGCCCUGAUCUCCAUGAAAACGCUCUUCUUGAACUCUCCAAGUCAAUGGUUCAAACGAAACAUUCGGUGUAUGAGUAUGGUUGCGUCUAGGGUGAAUUGUCGGCUCAGGCGACAGAAGUUGCAGCCACGAUGAGGAGACAAGGAGGAGUACUGAUAUGUUGGGCCAACCCUGCAAAUUGUUCAGUCUUUUUGGCCACUGACUUGAUAUAUCAACUUUUAUGUAGCCUUUCACGCUCUACAAUCAGUUGUCGUUUUUAACGAGUCUAAUUAGCCGUAACAUAUGGGGUUAUAAAAUGCCCACCCCACCGGAUCGCGCCGGUUCCCCGCUACAAGGGUUAAUGUGUUCUUGAAGCAUUCCCCAUCCGACAACUAUGAGUUAAUGAAUUUUCCGAGGUUCAAUAGUUAUAUUGGAAGUUGUAUAAUUGACUCCAUCUCUAAGCUUCAUAAAAAGCUCAGGUGCGACCGACCACUUUCAUACGGGAAGGGGAUGCGACAGCGGCAACUGAGCUACAAACGGACUUAGAUCAGACUCUUGGAUCAUAGGCCCGUUUCUGCAUUAUUAUAUAUGAUAGAAAUUGGAGCGUUUACUUAAAAAAGUGGAAAUGGGCCCUUACAUUUACUAAUGCAGAAAUGGAAAACUAUGGACCGACCUGCUUAAAAUCAAAACAGGCAAGAGUUCCUUUUGUUUCUAGAGGUGGCAGAAUAUAGAGGUUUUUUUGAAGAUGUCUCAAAAUUCUUAUUGGCUCUUUAAUGAUAUAUAAAGCUAAACAUGUUCAUAUUUUAUUACUAUCAUCAUCUUUUUGUAGGGGUAUGAAUUUCUAACACAACAUGAAAACAUGACACGAACUGAACACGAAUUUCUUGGGUUUUGGUUUACCCUAAACGGGUUCGGGUCAGUUUCAGGUCGAACCCGCGAACCCGUUUAGCUUAAUAGGUCAGGUUCGGGUCAAACCUGUCUGGUUCGUGGGUUGGCCCGUUUUGUUUAUAAAUGUAAAAAUAUGAUGGAUUAUGUGAAUGUAUGUAUAAUUGGGGGUUUUAGAAUAAAGUAAAUA